UACGUAGGGGGCAAGCGUUGUCCGGAUUCACUGGGUGUAAAGGGUGCUCAGGCGGACUUGUAAGUCAGAGGUGAAACUCCGAAGCCCAACUUCGGAACUGCCUUUGAUACUGCAAGUCUCGAGUACGGGAGAGGGUAAUGGAAUAACAGGUGUAGCAGUGAAAUGCGCAGAUAUCGGGAAGAACACCCGUGGCGAAGGCGGCUCUCUGGGACGGUACUGACGCUGAGACGCGAAAGCGUGGGGAGCGAACAGG
rnacentral:rRNA from 1 species